ACGUAGGGGGCAAGCGUUAUCCGGAUUUACUGGGUGUAAAGGGAGCGUAGACGGAACGGCAAGUUUGAAGUGAAAUACCUGGGCUUAACCCGGGAACUGCUUUGAAAACUGUCGAUCUAGAGUGUCGGAGAGGUAAGUGGAAUUCCUGGUGUAGUAGUGAAAUGCGUAGAUAUCAGGAAGAACACCGGAGGCGAAGGCGGCUUACUGGACGAUAACUGACGUUGAGGCUCGAAAGCGUGGGGAGCAAACAG
rnacentral:rRNA from 1 species